GAGCGGGCCCAGUCAGAUUGCUAACCU
rnacentral:tRNA from 1 species